rnacentral:rRNA from 1 species
AGGUACGAUCAUACCAGCGUUAAUGCACUGGAUCCCAUCAGAACUCCGUAGUUAAGCAUGCUUGGGCUAGAGUAGUACUCAUAUGGGUGACCUCCCAGGAAGUCUUAAUGUUGCACCCU